GGGCUCGAUGGUGACCACUGGUGGCGUAUGAGUCGUGCGUGAUGCAUACAUGUCUGGAACUCUGAGGUCCAA